CUAGCAAGUCGGGUAAUCGCUCUCCCGCAACGCGGGAGGUAGGAAAGUCCGAACACUCCUCCGACUAAGGUCGGAGAACAGCCUAGCGGGUAACGCCCGUCGUCCGUAAGGAUAGGGAUGCGAACAGUGACGAUGCUCCGAUGUAAAAUCGGAGAGUGAAACGGCUAAAUUCCUAGGUGGGUGCAAGAGCAAAUAUCCCAAGGUGGCUCGCUUGAGUCCGGCGGUAACGUCGGACCUAGAUAAAUGAUUACCAUCCGGUCCGAUUUUAUCGGACCGAGAUACAGAAUUCGGCUUACAGACUUACUGGGACA
rnacentral:RNase_P_RNA from 1 species